UAGUUCGAUUAUGGCUCAGGAUGAANGNNGGCGGCGUGCUUAACACAUGCAAGUCGAACGGGAUCCAUCAGGCUUUGCUUGGUGGUGAGAGUGGCGAACGGGUGAGUAAUGCGUGACCGACCUGCCCCAUACACCGGAAUAGCUCCUGGAAACGGGUGGUAAUGCCGGAUGCUCCGACUCCUCGCAUGGGGUGUCGGGAAAGAUUAUAUCGGUAUGGGAUGGGGUCGCGUCCUAUCAGGUAGUCGGCGGGGUAACGGCCCACCGAGCCUACGACGGGUAGCCGGCCUGAGAGGGCGACCGGCCACAUUGGGACUGAGAUACGGCCCAGACUCCUACGGGAGGCAGCAGUGGGGAAUAUUGCACAAUGGGCGCAAGCCUGAUGCAGCGACGCCGCGUGCGGGAUGACGGCCUUCGGGUUGUAAACCGCUUUUGAUCGGGAGCAAGCCUUCGGGUGAGUGUACCUUUCGAAUAAGCACCGGCUAACUACGUGCCAGCAGCCGCGGUAAUACGUAGGGUGCAAGCGUUAUCCGGAAUUAUUGGGCGUAAAGGGCUCGUAGGCGGUUCGUCGCGUCCGGUGUGAAAGUCCAUCGCUUAACGGUGGAUCUGCGCCGGGUACGGGCGGGCUGGAGUGCGGUAGGGGAGACUGGAAUUCCCGGUGUAACGGUGGAAUGUGUAGAUAUCGGGAAGAACACCAAUGGCGAAGGCAGGUCUCUGGGCCGUUACUGACGCUGAGGAGCGAAAGCGUGGGGAGCGAACAGGAUUAGAUACCCUGGUAGUCCACGCCGUAAACGGUGGAUGCUGGAUGUGGGGCCCGUUCCACGGGUUCCGUGUCGGAGCUAACGCGUUAAGCAUCCCGCCUGGGGAGUACGGCCGCAAGGCUAAAACUCAAAGAAAUUGACGGGGGCCCGCACAAGCGGCGGAGCAUGCGGAUUAAUUCGAUGCAACGCGAAGAACCUUACCUGGGCUUGACAUGUUCCCGACAGCCGUAGAGAUAUGGCCUCCCUUCGGGGCGGGUUCACAGGUGGUGCAUGGUCGUCGUCAGCUCGUGUCGUGAGAUGUUGGGUUAAGUCCCGCAACGAGCGCAACCCUCGCCCUGUGUUGCCAGCACGUCAUGGUGGGAACUCACGGGGGACCGCCGGGGUCAACUCGGAGGAAGGUGGGGAUGACGUCAGAUCAUCAUGCCCCUUACGUCCAGGGCUUCACGCAUGCUACAAUGGCCGGUACAACGGGAUGCGACACGGCGACGUGGAGCGGAUCCCUGAGAACCGGUCUCAGUUCGGAUUGGAGUCUGCAACCCGACUCCAUGAAGGCGGAGUCGCUAGUAAUCGCGGAUCAGCAACGCCGCGGUGAAUGCGUUCCCGGGCCUUGUACACACCGCCCGUCAAGUCAUGAAAGUGGGUAGCACCCGAAGCCGGUGGCCUAACCCUUUGUGGAUGGAGCCGUCUAAGGUGAGACUCGUGAUUGGGACUAANNNGNNNCNNUAUCC
rnacentral:rRNA from 1 species